UACAGAGGUCCCAAGCGUUGUUCGGAUUCACUGGGCGUAAAGGGUGCGUAGGUGGCGAGGUAAGUCGGAUGUGAAAGCUCGGAGCUCAACUCCGAAAUGGCAUUGGAAACUACCUUGCUCGAGGGUUGGAGGGGGGACUGGAAUGCUUGGUGUAGCAGUGAAAUGCGUAGAUAUCAAGCGGAACACCAGUGGCGAAGGCGAGUCUCUGGGAUGAUGCUGACGCUGAUGCGCGAAAGCCAGGGGAGCAAACGGG
rnacentral:rRNA from 1 species